rnacentral:ncRNA from 1 species
AAAUAAAUUUUUUAUGGUUUGUGAAAUUUAUUUUAAAGUUUAUUUUACAUAUAAAUUUUAGUGUUAAUUAUUAAUUAUUUAAAUAAUAUUUAAUUUUGUGGUAGUAAUUAAUUUUAAAAAAUUUAAGAAAUUAAGAUUUAGUGAUAUUUUAAUUAAUAACUAAUUUUGUGCCAGCAGUUGCGGUUAUACAAAGAUUAAUUUAAAUUUUUUUUUAGUGUUUAAUUAAUAAUUAUUUUUAAAUAAUUUAAAAUUUAAAUUUUAAGGUGAAAUUUUAAUUUAAUAUAAAAUUAUUUAAUAUUUAUGAUUUGGUAAAUUUUAUGAAAAACUAGGAUUAGAUACCCUAUUAUUAAAAAUUUAAAUUAAUAAUACUUAAAUAGUAGAUAAUUAUUUAUUAAAACUUAAAUAAUUUGGCGGUAUUUUAGUUUAUUUAGAGGAAUCUGUUUAAUAAUUGAUAUUCCACGAUUAAAUUUACUUGAUUUAUUAUUUUGUAUAUCGUUGUUAUAAAAAUAUUUUUUUAUAAUAUUAAUAUUUAAGAAUUUGAAAUUAAAAUUAAAUCAGAUCAAGAUGCAGAUUAUAAUUAAGAAUAUAAUGGAUUACAAUAAAUUUAUUUGAAUAAUUUGGAUUUUAAUUUGGAAUGAUUAAAUGAAAAUGGAUUUAAAUGUAAUUUUAAAUAAAUUUUUAAGGUGAUUGAAUAUUAAAGUAUGUACAUAUUGCCCGUCGCUUUCAUUUAUAAGUUGAAAUAAGUCGUAACAAAGUAGAGGUACUGGAAAGUGUUUCUAGAAAGGU